UACGUAGGGUGCAAGCGUUGUCCGGAAUUAUUGGGCGUAAAGAGCUCGUAGGCGGUUUGUCGCGUCUGCUGUGAAAACUCGGGGCUUAACCCCGGGCCUGCAGUGGGUACGGGCAGACUAGAGUGCGGUAGGGGAGACUGGAAUUCCUGGUGUAGCGGUGAAAUGCGCAGAUAUCAGGAGGAACACCGGUGGCGAAGGCGGGUCUCUGGGCCGUAACUGACGCUGAGGAGCGAAAGCUAGGGGAGCGAACAGG
rnacentral:rRNA from 1 species